UACGUAGGGGGCAAGCGUUGUCCGGAUUUAUUGGGCGUAAAGAGCGUGUAGGCGGUCAGGUAGGUCCGUUGUGAAAACUCGAGGCUCAACCUCGAGACGCCGAUGGAAACCAUCUGACUAGAGUCCGGAAGAGGAAAGUGGAAUUCCUGGUGUAGCGGUGAAAUGCGCAGAUAUCAGGAAGAACACCCGUGGCGAAGGCGGCUCUCUGGUACGGUACUGACGCUGAGACGCGAAAGCGUGGGGAGCGAACAGG
rnacentral:rRNA from 1 species